rnacentral:rRNA from 1 species
UGCACAGACAACCAGGAUGUUGGCUUAGAAGCAGCCACUCAUUUAAAGAGUGCGUAAUAGCUCACUGGUCGAGUGAUUCUGCGCCGAAAAUUUCCGGGGCUAAAACUUACUACCGAAGCUACGGCAUCAUUAUGAUGGGUAGGGGAGCUUUCUAUGCGGCUUGAAGCAUGACCGUAAGGACAUGUGGACUGCAUAGAAGUGAGAAUGUUGGCAUGAGUAGCGAGAUGUGGGUGAGAAUCCCACAGGCCGUAAACCCAAGGUUUCCAGGGGAAGGUUCGUCCGCCCUGGGUUAGUCAGGACCUAAGCCGAGGCCGAAAGGCGUAGGUGAUGGACAACAGGUUGAUAUUCCUGUACCACCAAUAACCGUUUGAGAAAUGGGAUGACACAGUAGGAUAAGCUAACCGCACUGUUGGUUAUGUGCGGGCAAGUAUUGAGGCAGUUCCGAUAGGCAAAUCCGUCGGAAUAAUGCUGGGGUACGAUGCGGAGCGAAAUUUAGUAGCGAAGUAGCUGAUUUCACACUGUCGAGAAAAGUCUCUAUCGAGGUUAAAGGUGCCUGUACCGCAAACCGACACAGGUGGGUGAGGAGAGUAUCCUAAGGCCAGCGAGAGAACUGUUGUUAAGGAACUCGGCAAAAUGACCCCGUAACUUAGGGAGAAGGGGUGCCUUCGAAAGAAGGCCGCAGAGAAUAGGCCCAAGCGACUGUUUACCAAAAACAUAGGUUUCUGCUAAGUCGCAAGACGAUGUAUAGGAGCUGACGCCUGCCCGGUGCUGGAAGGUUAAGGGGAUCUGUUAGAGCAAUCGAAGCAGUGAACUUAAGCCCCAGUAAACGGCGGCCGUAACUAUAACGGUCCUAAGGUAGCGAAAUUCCUUGUCGGGUAAGUUCCGACCCGCACGAAAGGCGUAACGAUUUGGGCACUGUCUCAACAACAGACUCGGUGAAAUUGUAAUACCGGUGAAGAUGCCGGUUACCUGCGACAGGACGGAAAGACCCCAUGGAGCUUUACUGUAGCUUGACAUUGAGUCUCGGUGCUACAUGUACAGGAUAGGUGGGAGACUAUGAAGCAUGGACGUCAGUCUGUGUGGAGUCAUCCUUGGGAUACCACCCUUGUAGUACUGGGAUUCUAACCAGAGGCCAUGAAUCUGGUCUUGGGACACUGUCAGGUGGACAGUUUGACUGGGGCGGUCGCCUCCCAAAAAGUAACGGAGGCGCUCAAAGGUUCUCUCAGUACGGUCGGAAAUCGUACGAAGAGUGUAAAGGCAAAAGAGAGCUUGAUUGCAAGACAUACAGGUCGAGCAAGGACGAAAGUCGGACUUAGUGAUCCGGUGGUUCCGCAUGGAAGGGCCAUCGCUCAACGGAUAAAAGCUACCCUGGGGAUAACAGGCUGAUCUCCCCCAAGAGUCCACAUCGACGGGGAGGUUUGG